UACGGAGGUGGCAAGCGUUACUCGGUUUGACUGGGUGUAAAGGGUCCGCAGGCGGCCAAAUAAGUGAAAAGUGAAAAUCAUCUGCUCAACAGAUGAACUGCUUUUCAAACUAUUUGGCUGGAGGUUGGAAGAGGAGAGCGGAACUGCCAGUGGAAGGGUGAAAUCUGUAGAUAUUGGCAGGAACACCUGUGGCGUAGGCGGCUCUCUGGUCCAAUCCUGACGCUCAGGGACGAAAGCUAGGGGAGCAAACAGG
rnacentral:rRNA from 1 species